GUGCCAGCAGCCGCGGUAAUACGUAGGUGUCAAGCGUUGUCCGGAUUUAUUGGGCGUAAAGCGCCCGCAGGCGGCUUGUUAAGUUCGAAGUGAAAUCUCCCGGCUUAACUGGGAGGGUGCUCCGAAAACUGGCAGGCUUGAGUCAUGGAGAGGGAUGUGGAAUUCCCGGUGUAGUGGUGAAAUGCGUAGAUAUCGGGAGGAACACCAGUGGCGAAGGCGGCAUCCUGGCCAUGUACUGACGCUCAGGGGCGAAAGCGUGGGGAGCAAACCGGAUUAGAAACCCCUGUAGUCC
rnacentral:rRNA from 1 species